rnacentral:rRNA from 1 species
CCUACGGGCGGCAGCAGUGAGGAAUAUUGGUCAAUGGGCGAGAGCCUGAACCAGCCAAGUCGCGUGAAGGAUGACGGCCCUAUGGGUUGUAAACUUCUUUUGCAGGGGAAUAAAGAUAUUCACGUGUGGAUAGUUGUAUGUACCCUGCGAAUAAGCAUCGGCUAACUCCGUGCCAGCAGCCGCGGUAAUACGGAGGAUGCGAGCGUUAUCCGGAUUUAUUGGGUUUAAAGGGUGCGUAGGUGGACUGUUAAGUCAGUGGUGAAAGUUUGUCGCUCAACGAUAAAAUUGCCGUUGAAACUGGUGGUCUUGAGUAUGGAUGAAGUAGGCGGAAUGCGUGGUGUAGCGGUGAAAUGCAUAGAGAUCACGCAGAACUCCGAUUGCGAAGGCAGCUUACUAAGGCAUAACUGACACUGAAGCACGAAAGCGUGGGUAUCAAACAGGAUUAGAUACCCUAGUAGUC